rnacentral:rRNA from 1 species
AUGCAUGCAGGAGAUAAUCUACGGUUGUGCGUGUUUCAAGAUCUAGGUGCUAAGGAUCAACAAUUCAGGUACAGAGUAGAGGACGACAAAGAGGGGAGGAUUAGUACUCUGAUGUGGGCUAAUGGAAACAGCAGACUGCAGUACACUUUCUUCGGAGACGUAGUGACAUUUGAUAAAACGUACAUGACCAACCUGUAUCACAUGCCAUUCGGGCUUUUUAUUGGAGUUAACAACCACUUCCAGAGCAUUAUACUUGCCCGCGUAUUGGUGAGGGAUGAGAAGGUCGAAACAUUCGAAUGUUUUUUUUUAGAAUUUGUCAGAAUGAUGGGUGGCAAUGCACUGCAAACUAUUCUCACAGACCAGAACCGUGCCAUUGAGGUUGCUAUAAAGAAUGUGAUGCCGAGGACAGCACACCGGUGGUGCAAGUGGCACAUACCGAAGAAGGCCAAGGAGUCGUUGGGUCGAUUGUACUCAAUGAAGAGUGAUUUCCAAGCAGAAUUUCACAAGGUUAUUAAUCACAUGUUGACGAUGACGAGUUUGAAGAAGCCUGGAAGUUCCUAA